rnacentral:lncRNA from 1 species
UUUUUAGAGGGGACAGACAUUAAGAAUACUUUUAUUGCUCCUACCCGCAAGCUGACAGAGAUAGCAGAUUCUGUGAAAGAGUGAGACACAGAGUGUCUGGAAACUGGUGUCACACAAACUCCUUCUAAGGGCAAAAUCCCCUCUGCACUGCUGGACAUGCAUUCAAGAAAAGUGGUUGGCAAGCAAGUUCAUAGCUCCAGCUUUCAAGGUCCUCUGCAUCAUCCUGCAGUAGAACCAGAAGGAAUAGAAGGAAUACUGGGAGGAUACUUCCAAAUCGCCCCCUCCACUCCCCCCCUCAGACACAAAAGCCAGCCAACCAAACAAGCAAGCAAAACCUAAUCCACCAAAAAAUGAAAAAUUAAAACCUAUUAAACAGAUUUAUCUGUUCUUGUCUACUCUAAUUGCAAAGUAAUAGUUGUCAUUGUUUUAAUUAAGAUGCCAUUUUUUUUCUUGAUUGCUUUAGUCUUAAUUCCAGCUUCUAGGAGAAAGCUGUCCAUUCUUGGUUCCUUGCUAUACUUCCCUAUAACAAGCUGAGUUCACAUUAUUCAAACCUCGUAAGACCUUUCCAGUAUGGAAUGAAGUCUGGAUUUCUUUGAAGUCAGUAGUAAAAUUCCUACUGACUUUCACAGGAUUUUUGCCCACAGAGAUUUCAGUAUACGCCAUCUCUUUGCUGACUUUAUUUAAGACCUCAUUAAAGUUUUAAAUCUGCUAAAGCUGUAUUUUUCUGAUUUUUCUCAUCAUUGUCCUUCCUUUCAAAAAGAAUAAAUACAUUUGCAAUGCAUCA